AUUUUUGACAACAUCAAUAUAAAUUCAAAAAAAAUAUUUCUAAUAAGAUUUGUAUUCAGAAACGAUUAAUCAAAUUGAAGCCGUAAGAAAUGGUUAUAAUCUAGACUAAACUCAAAAUUGAAUAUUUUCAUUAAAAAUGAGUGCUGUUGAUAUAAACAAAUUAGUGGAGGAUAUUCAGAGACUUAGGGAAGAAUCUGAUAUAACUAAUGACGAAUACUCAAAAAAAGAAGACACGUUUACUAUGACGGACUUAGAUUUCCCAUUGGCAACAUCAGAGUGUGAAGAACAAGAAAUCGGAUUUAGAAAUAAUGCAUGUUAUCUCUGUAAUGGAUAUUAUGGAUCUUCUUAUGGUGAACACUUAUGUACAACAUGUCACUUAUUUUUAUAUCCUCUGUUUGAAACUCCUGAUAGUCCUACCUUCAUACCCGAGGAGAACAGCGAUAGUGAUUCAGGCAAUGAUGAACCUGUCGAUGCCUCAUUCAGACUGAAUGGUAAUGACAAUUCUGAAGAAUCCUUUCAACGCAAUCAAGCAGCUACCACAUCUGAUGUGGAUCUAAUGCCUGUGAGACGUCGAAUCGUAAUAAGACCAUGUAUUUGUUUAGUUGUUGAGCGUUCCAAUCCACACUCACACAGAAGGUCAAGAGGUCAAAUGAUUGACUUUUCUCUCCUUCCAGACUUCAAAAGUUUCAACUUUCAGGGCCUAUCUCCUGAAAUUUUUAUGUAUACUCUUCAAUAUCUGGAUACAAUAUCUUUAUGGAGUGUGGGUCAAGUGUGUCAUAGAUGGCGCUCUAUACUUGAUUUAUACAUUAAAGUAAGCGAAUGGAAGAACUUAUUACAUGAUGUAUGGCCUUUAUUGAAAGUUAGAGGCAAGACUUAUCAGGACUGGUAUAAGUACUUUACAGCUAUGAUGAAUAGUGCAUGUUGCUUCAACUGUGUCAAUCAGAUGACAUCUCGAGCUUUGCCGGAAAAUUGGGAUAACAGUUCUUGGAGAGCACAUAGACUUAUGACUGAACUGCGAGUUAUGAAGAGUGAUCCUUUGGAUGGUAUUCAAGCUGAGCCAUUAGACGAUUUCGCUUGUCAUUGGCAGGCAACUCUAGAGGGACCAGCUGGAAGCCCCUAUGAAGGAGGUCUAUUCUUUCUUUAUAUCAAAGUGCCAGCGUCUUAUCCUCUAACACCACCUAUUGUACGAUUUAUAACAAAAAUAUUUCAUCCCAAUGUAUCACGUCAUGGGGAUAUUGGUAUUGAUUCCAUUCACCAAAAUUGGUCCUUGGCUUUGACAAUGAGCAAACUGUUGAUCUCCAUUCAGUCUCUCUUAACAGAUCCAUUUUGCGAUGAAAGAAAAAGUUAACCCCAUAAAAUGUCCAUAGUUUGUGUUCCAAGAAAUGUAAAAUACAAAUAACCAAAUCCCCUGUUUUCCUGCUUGCUGUCCAGAAAUUUUCCCAAAAACUCGGAGUUAUUUGCAUGAAAUUUGGUUUGUAUGGAACCUGAUAUAUGUGAUAUGUAUAUAAACAACAGAAAAGCUUUUGAUAAACAAGCAAGAAAGUGGACAGCUAAAUAUGCAAUGAACGAUUUGAUGUCCUAUGAAAUUAAUCAAGAAGAUAAAAGCCAAUAAUAUGGUCUCAUCAAUUUUAUUUUGUCAGCAUCUUCAUUAUAUUUACAUUUUAUUAAUAUAUCAAUAAAAGAUUUUUAAAUCA